UACGUAGGGUGCGAGCGCUAAUCGGAAUUACUGGGCGUAAAGCGUGCGCAGGCGGUUUUGUAAGCCAGAUGUGAAAUCCCCGGGCUUAACCUGGGAAUGGCAUUUGGGACUGCAAGGCUGGAGUGCGGCAGAGGAGACUGGAAUUCCUGGUGUAGCAGUGAAAUGCGUAGAUAUCAGGAGGAAUACCGAUGGCGAAGGCAGGUCUCUGGGCUGACACUGACGCUCAUGCACGAAAGCGUGGGGAGCAAACAGG
rnacentral:rRNA from 1 species